CUGGCUCAGGAUGAACGCUAGCUACAGGCUUAACACAUGCAAGUCGAGGGGCAGCAUUGGAGUAGCAAUACUUCAGAUGGCGACCGGCGCACGGGUGAGUAACACGUAUCCAACCUGCCGCUUACUCGGGGAUAGCCUUUCGAAAGAAAGAUUAAUACCCGAUGGUAUAAAGAGUUCGCAUGUUCUCUUUAUUAAAGAAUUUCGGUAAGCGAUGGGGAUGCGUUCCAUUAGAUUGUUGGCGGGGUAACGGCCCACCAAGUCUACGAUGGAUAGGGGUUCUGAGAGGAAGGUCCCCCACAUUGGAACUGAGACACGGUCCAAACUCCUACGGGAGGCAGCAGUGAGGAAUAUUGGUCAAUGGACGAGAGUCUGAACCAGCCAAAGUAGCGUGAAGGAUGACUGCCCUAUGGGUUGUAAACUUCUUUUAUAAGGGAAUAAAGUGAGGGACGUGUCCCUUUUUGUAUGUACCUUAUGAAUAAGGAUCGGCUAACUCCGUGCCAGCCGCCGC
rnacentral:rRNA from 1 species